rnacentral:rRNA from 1 species
AGUCGACGGCAGCACAGAGGAGCUUGCUCCUUGGGUGGCGAGUGGCGGACGGGUGAGUAAUGCAUCGGGAUCUACCCUGACGUGGGGGAUAACCUCGGGAAACCGGGACUAAUACCGCAUACGUCCUACGGGAGAAAGCGGGGGACCUUCGGGCCUCGCGCGGCAGGACGAACCGAUGUGCGAUUAGCUAGUUGGCGGGGUAAUGGCCCACCAAGGCGACGAUCACUAGCUGGUCUGAGAGGAUGAUCAGCCACACUGGGACUGAGACACGGCCCAGACUCCUACGGGAGGCAGCAGUGGGGAAUAUUGGACAAUGGGCGCAAGCCUGAUCCAGCAAUGCCGCGUGUGUGAAGAAGGCCUUCGGGUUGUAAAGCACUUUUAUCAGGAGCGAAAUACCACGGGUUAAUACCCUAUGGGGCUGACGGUACCUGAGGAAUAAGCACCGGCUAACUUCGUGCCAGCAGCCGCGGUAAUACGAAGGGUGCAAGCGUUAAUCGGAAUUAUUGGGCGUAAAGGGUGCGUAGGCGGUUACUUAAGUCUGUCGUGAAAUCCCCGGGCUCAACCUGGGAAUGGCGAUGGAUACUGGGUGGCUAGAGUGUGUCAGAGGAUGGUGGAAUUCCCGGUGUAGCGGUGAAAUGCGUAGAGAUCGGGAGGAACAUCAGUGGCGAAGGCGGCCAUCUGGGACAACACUGACGCUGAAGCACGAAAGCGUGGGGAGCAAACAGGAUUAGAUACCCUGGUAGUCCACGCCCUAAACGAUGCGAACUGGAUGUUGGU